rnacentral:rRNA from 1 species
UAACACGUGGGUAACCUGCCUUAUAGUGGGGGAGUAGCCUUUCGAAGAAGAUUAAUACCGCAUAAGAUUGUAGUAUCGCAUGAUAUAGCAAUUAAAGGAGCAAUUCGCUAUAAGAUGGACCCGCGUCGCAUUAGCUAGUUGGUGAGGUAAUGGCUCACCAAGGCGACGAUGCGUAGCCGACCUGAGAGGGUGAUCGGCCACAUUGGGACUGAGACACGGCCCAGACUCCUACGGGAGGCAGCAUG